rnacentral:piRNA from 1 species
GGUGAUAAUAAAGACCUUAUUGAUCAGGUC